ACUGCCUGAUGGAGAGGGAUAACUACUGGAAACGGUGGCUAAUACCGCAUAACGUCGCAAGACCAAAGAGGGGGACCUUCGGGCCUCUUGCCAUCAGAUGUGCCCAGAUGGGAUUAGCUUGUUGGUGAGGUAACGGCUCACCAAGGCGACGAUCCCUAGCUGGUCUGAGAGGAUGACCAGCCACACUGGAACUGAGACACGGUCCAGACUCCUACGGGAGGCAGCAGUGGGGAAUAUUGCACAAUGGGCGCAAGCCUGAUGCAGCCAUGCCGCGUGUAUGAAGAAGGCCUUCGGGUUGUAAAGUACUUUCAGCGGGGAGGAAGGUGUUGUGGUUAAUAACCGCAGCAAUUGACGUUACCCGCAGAAGAAGCACCGGCUAACUCCGUGCCAGCAGCCGCGGUAAUACGGAGGGUGCAAGCGUUAAUCGGAAUUACUGGGCGUAAAGCGCACGCAGGCGGUCUGUCAAGUCGGAUGUGAAAUCCCCGGGCUCAACCUGGGAACUGCAUUCGAAACUGGCAGGCUUGAGUCUUGUAGAGGGGGGUAGAAUUCCAGGUGUAGCGGUGAAAUGCGUAGAGAUCUGGAGGAAUACCGGUGGCGAAGGCGGCCCCCUGGACAAAGACUGACGCUCAGGUGCGAAAGCGUGGGGAGCAAACAGGAUUAGAUACCCUGGUAGUCCACGCCGUAAACGAUGUCUACUUGGAGGUUGUGCCCUUGAGGCGUGGCUUCCGGAGCUAACGCGUUAAGUAGACCGCCUGGGGAGUACGGCCGCAAGGUUAAAACUCAAAUGAAUUGACGGGGGCCCGCACAAGCGGUGGAGCAUGUGGUUUAAUUCGAUGCAACGCGAAGAACCUUACCUGGUCUUGACAUCCACAGAAGAAUCCAGAGAUGGAUUUGUGCCUUCGGGAACUGUGAGACAGGUGCUGCAUGGCUGUCGUCAGCUCGUGUUGUGAAAUGUUGGGUUAAGUCCCGCAACGAGCGCAAC
rnacentral:rRNA from 1 species